CCUACGGGAGGCAGCAGUGGGGAAUAUUGGUCAAUGGACGAGAGUCUGAACCAGCCACGUAGCGUGAAGGAUGACUGCCCUCUGGGUUUUAAACUUCUUUUAUAUGGGAAUAAAAUAUUCCACGUGUGGGAUUUUGUAUGUCCCAUAUGGAUAAGGAUCGGCUAACUCCAGGCCAGCGGCCGCGGUAAUCCGGAUGAUCCGAGCGUUAUCCGGAUUUAUUGGGUUUAAAGGGAGCGUAGGUAGAUUGGUAAGUCAGUUGUGAAAGUUUGCGGCUCAACCGUAAAAUUGCAGUUGAAACUGGCAGUCUUGAGUACAGUAGAGGUGGGCGGAAUUCGUGGUGUAGCGGUGAAAUGCUUAGAUAUUACGAAGAACUCCGAUGGCGAAGGCAGCUCACUGGACUGCAACUGACACUGAGGCUCGAAAGUGUGGGUAUCAAACAGGAUUAGAUACCCCUGUAGUC
rnacentral:rRNA from 1 species